AACGGUCUAUACCUGCGGUACCUGCGGAAGGAUCAUUAACGAGUUAGGGUCUUCAAGGCCCGACCUCCUAACCCUAUGUUUACUAAACCCAUGUUGCUUCGGCGGGCCCGUCUCACGACCGCCGGGGGACCGUAAGACGUCCUCUGGCCCGCGCCCGCCGGUAGCCAAACUCUGAUAAAUUCUGAUAUAACCGUGUUAACUGUCUGAGUUCCAUUCUUAAUUAAAGCAAAAACUUUCAGC
rnacentral:misc_RNA from 1 species